rnacentral:rRNA from 1 species
AGUGGAUGGGGAGCAACCUAGUUGUGCGUGUGUAAAGGUAGUGCCAAGAAAAGCGAUGAUCAUGUUGAAAAUCAAUUCCCGGUACCCGAAACCGACACAGGUGGGCAAGUAGAGAAUACUAAGGGGCGCGAGGUAACUCUCUCCAAGGAACUCGGCAAAAUGACCCCGUAACUUAGGGAGAAGGGGUGCCACCGAGAGGUGGUCGCAGUGAAGAGGCCCAGGCGACUGUUUAGCAAAAACAUAGGUCUCUGCAAACUCGAAAGAGGAGGUAUAGGGGCUGACGCCUGCCCAGUGCCGGAAGGUUAAAGAAGUUGGUCAGUUUUAGGAUGAAGCUAGCGACUGAAGCCCCGGUGAACGGCGGCCGUAACUAUAACGGUCCUAAGGUAGCGAAAUUCCUUGUCGGGUAAGUUCCGACCCGCACGAAAGGCGUAACGAUCUGGGCGCUGUCUCGGAGAGAGGCUCGGCGAAAUAGGAUUGUCUGUGAAGAUACGGACUACCUGCAUUUGGACAGAAAGACCCUGUGAAGCUUUACUAUAGCUUGGAAUUGUGUUCGGGCUUCCUGUGCGCAGGAUAGGUGGGAGGCGUAGAAGGUAUUCUUGUGGGGAUACUGGAGCCAACGGUGAGAUACCACUCUCAGAGGCUAGAAUUCUAACUUAAUUAAGGACAGUUUCAGGUGGGUAGUUUGACUGGGGCGGUCGCCUCCAAAAAGGUAACGGAGGCGUACAAAGGUUCCCUCAGACUGGUUGGAAAUCAGUCGAAGAGUGCAAAGGCAGAAGGGAGCUUGACUGCGAGAAGUACAGUUCGAGCAGGGUGGAAACACGGUCUUAGUGAUCCGACGGUGCUGUGUGGAAGGGCCGUCGUUCAACGGAUAAAAGUUACUCUAAGGAUAACAGGCUGAUCUCCCCCAAGAGUUCACAUCGACGGGGAGGUUUGGCACCUCGAUGUCGGCUCAUCGCAACCUGGGGCGGAAGUACGUCCCAAGGGUUGGGCUGUUCGCCCAUUAAAGCGGUACGUGAGCUGGGUUCAGAACGUCGUGAGACAGUUCGGUCCAUAUCCGAUGUAGGCGUGAGAAUAUUGAGAGGAGCCUUCCUUAGUACGAGAGGACCGGGAAGGACGCACCGCUGGUGUACCUGUUAUGAUGCCAAUUGUAAACGCAGGGUAGCCAAGUGCGGAGAGGAUAACCGCUGAAAGCAUCUAAGUGGGAAGCCCACCUCAAGAUGAGUAUUCUGGUGUAAGGUCACGGGAAGACGACCCGUAAAUAGGCACGAGGUGGAAGUGCAGAGAUGUAUGAAGCCGAAGUGUACUAAUAGACCGUCGGCUUGACC